rnacentral:rRNA from 1 species
AGGUGCCAUCAUACCAGCACUAAUGCACCAGAUCCCAUCAGAACUCCGCAGUCAAGCGUGCUUGGGUGAGAGCAGUACUAGGUUGGGUGACCUCCUCAGAAGUCCUCGUGUUGUACUUC